GCUUAAUCUUUGAGACAAGCAUAUGACUACUGGCAGGAUCAACCAGGUAGCAUUCCUCUUCGACGUGGCCUACCUUGAACGGAGAAGCCGUAGCAUGGCAAGCAAUCGUUUUGGAGAAGCGAGAACGCUUAACGAGGGCAUAAUGAAGAUCUUAUGAAGACCCAAGCCCACAUCAAGUUCGGUAUACAAGAGACCAAACGAUGCUUCAUAGGCCACAUCGUUGUUGCAAGCACAACACUGUGGAUUACAAAGACCGUUUCAUUGUUCAUCCCACGCCGCAUGAUGGACGCAUGACGAAAAAGAAAACCGUAAAACCCACACGUUACCGUCAAUUAGGUAUGCAACACAGGAAACCCACAACAUGCUCAAGACAAAGCCAGUCUUGACGCAGAACUGAAGAGGUAUGCAGCGUGAACGUUGGUGCGCGAGCAAACAGCCAUCCACACGUAACAAACCAAUCACCACUCAUGCACCUCCCCGGUCAUCAUUCCCGAAAGCCGCCCAACUAGUAGCCACCCACCCAACCAAAAGGCUAAGCAAGCAACCAAAAGCCAAAACAGCCCCCAAAAUGCACC
rnacentral:misc_RNA from 1 species